rnacentral:rRNA from 1 species
UGAGGAAUAUUGCGCAAUGGGGGCAACCCUGACGCAGCAACGCCGCGUGAGUGAGGAAGGUUUUCGGAUUGUAAAGCUCUGUCGAGCGGAAAGAAAUGCAUUAUGGCUAAUAUCCAUAGUGCUUGACGGUACCGCUAGAGGAAGCACCGGCUAACUCCGUGCCAGCAGCCGCGGUAAUACGGGGGGUGCAAGCGUUGUUCGGAAUCAUUGGGCGUAAAGAGCGUGUAGGCGGCUUGACAAGUCAGAUGUGAAAUCCCUGGGCUUAACCCAGGAAGUGCAUUUGAAACUGGUUGGCUGGAGUAAGGGAGAGGAAAGUGGAAUUCCUGGUGUAGAGGUGAAAUUCGUAGAUAUCAGGAGGAACACCGGUGGCGAAGGCGACUUUCUGGCCCUAUACUGACGCUGAGACGCGAAAGCGUGGGUAGCAAACA